rnacentral:rRNA from 1 species
UUGGGUCCACCUCCCACCCGUGUUUAUUUACCUCGUUGCUUCGGCGGGCCCGCCUUAACUGGCCGCCGGGGGGCUCACGCCCCCGGGCCCGCGCCCGCCGAAGACACCCCCGAACUCUGCCUGAAGAUUGUCGUCUGAGUGAAAAUAUAAAUUAUUUAAAACUUUCAACAACGGAUCUCUUGGUUCCGGCAUCGAUGAAGAACGCAGCGAAAUGCGAUACGUAAUGUGAAUUGCAAAUUCAGUGAAUCAUCGAGUCUUUGAACGCACAUUGCGCCCCCUGGUAUUCCGGGGGGCAUGCCUGUCCGAGCGUCAUUGCUGCCCUCAAGCCCGGCUUGUGUGUUGGGCCCCGUCCUCCGAUUCCGGGGGACGGGCCCGAAAGGCAGCGGCGGCACCGCGUCCGGUCCUCGAGCGUAUGGGGCUUUGUCACCCGCUCUGUAGGCCCGGCCGGCGCUUGCCGAUCAACCCAAAUUUUUAUCCAGGUUGACCUCGGAUCAGGUAGGGAUACCCGCUGAACUUAAGCAUAUCAAUANGCNGGAGGAAUACCGAGUGAGGGCCCUUUGGGUCAACCUCCCACCGUGUUUAUUUACCUCGUUGCUUNGCGGGCCGCUUAACUGGCGNGGGGGCUCANCCGGGCCGCGCCGCGAAGACNCCCCGAACUCUGCUGAAGAUUGUNUCUGAGUGAAAAUAUAAAUUAUUUAAAACUUUCACAACGGAUCUCU